rnacentral:rRNA from 1 species
UACGUAGGGUGCAAGCGUUAAUCGGAAUUACUGGGCGUAAAGCGUGCGUAGACGGUUAUUUAAGUCGGGUGUGAAAGCCCCGGGCUCAACCUGGGGAAUUGCAUUCGAGACUGAAUAGCUAGGGUACGGUAGAGGGAAGUGGGAAUUUCCGGUGUAGCGGUGAAAACGCGCAGAUAUCAGGAGGAACACCGGUGGCGAAGGCGGGGUCUCUGGGGCCGAUACUGACGCUGAGGAGCGAAAAGCGUGGGGGAGCGAACAGG